GAGUUUGAUCAUGGCUCAGAUUGAACGCUGGCGGCAGGCUUAACACAUGCAAGUCGAGCGGAGAUGAGGUGCUUGCACCUUAUCUUAGCGGCGGACGGGUGAGUAAUGCUUAGGAAUCUGCCUAUUAGUGGGGGACAACAUUCCGAAAGGAAUGCUAAUACCGCAUACGUCCUACGGGAGAAAGCAGGGGAUCUUCGGACCUUGCGCUAAUAGAUGAGCCUAAGUCGGAUUAGCUAGUUGGUGGGGUAAAGGCCUACCAAGGCGACGAUCUGUAGCGGGUCUGAGAGGAUGAUCCGCCACACUGGGACUGAGACACGGCCCAGACUCCUACGGGAGGCAGCAGUGGGGAAUAUUGGACAAUGGGGGGAACCCUGAUCCAGCCAUGCCGCGUGUGUGAAGAAGGCCUUAUGGUUGUAAAGCACUUUAAGCGAGGAGGAGGCUACUGAGACUAAUACUCUUGGAUAGUGGACGUUACUCGCAGAAUAAGCACCGGCUAACUCUGUGCC
rnacentral:rRNA from 1 species